rnacentral:rRNA from 1 species
UACGGGAGGCAGCAGUGGGGAAUUUUCCGCAAUGGGCGAAAGCCUGACGGAGCAACGCCGCGUGAGGGAUGAAGGCCUCUGGGCUGUAAACCUCUUUUAUCAAGGAAGAAGAUCUGACGGUACUUGAUGAAUAAGCCACGGCUAAUUCCGUGCCAGCAGCCGCGGUAAUACGGGAGUGGCAAGCGUUAUCCGGAAUUAUUGGGCGUAAAGCGUCCGCAGGCGGCCCUUCAAGUCUGCUGUUAAAAAGUGGAGCUUAACUCCAUCAUGGCAGUGGAAACUGAGGGGCUUGAGUGUGGUAGGGGCAGAGGGAAUUCCCGGUGUAGCGGUGAAAUGCGUAGAUAUCGGGAAGAACACCAGUGGCGAAGGCGCUCUGCUGGGCCAUCACUGACGCUCAUGGACGAAAGCCAGGGGAGCGAAAGGGAUUAGAUACCCCUGUAGUCCUGGCCGUAAACGAUGAACACUAGGUGUCGGGGGAAUCGACCCCCUCGGUGUCGUAGCCAACGCGUUAAGUGUUCCGCCUGGGGAGUACGCACGCAAGUGUGAAACUCAAAGGAAUUGACGG